UACGGAGGAUGCGAGCGUUAUCCGGAUUUAUUGGGUUUAAAGGGUGCGUAGGCGGGUUAUCAAGUCAGCGGUAAAAUCGUGGAGCUCAACUCCAUCCAGCCGUUGAAACUGAUGAUCUCGAGUGGGCGAGAAGUAUGCGGAAUGCGUGGUGUAGCGGUGAAAUGCAUAGAUAUCACGCAGAACUCCGAUUGCGAAGGCAGCAUACCGGCGCCCGACUGACGCUGAAGCACGAAAGCGUGGGUAUCGAACAGG
rnacentral:rRNA from 1 species